CCUACGGGUGGCAGCAGUGAGGAAUAUUGGUCAAUGGGCGCGAGCCUGAACCAGCCAAGUCGCGUGAGGGAAGACGGCCCUACGGGUUGUAAACCUCUUUUGCCGGGGAGCAACGGGCGCCACGUGUGGCGCCACUGAGAGUACCCGGAGAAAAAGCAUCGGCUAACUCCGUCCCAGCCGCCGCGGUAGUACGGAGGGUGCGAGCGUUAUCCGGAUUUAUUGGGUUGAAAGGGUGCGUAGGCGGAGCGUUAGUUCAGUGGUAAAAUUGAGGGGCUAAACCCCUUCCCGCCAUUGAAACUGGCGCUCUUGAGUGGAAGAGAAGUAUGCGGAAUGCGUGGUGUAGCGGUGAAAUGCAUAGAUAUCACGCAGAACCCCGAUUGCGAAGGCAGCAUGCCGGCUUCCUACUGACGCUGAAGCACGAAAGCGUGGGGAUCGAACAGGAUUAGAUACCCUUGUAGUC
rnacentral:rRNA from 1 species